AGGCAAAUAUAGUAAUAAAGUUCAUCCAAAAAAAAAGGGAAGAUCUGAUUUUUACCAGUAAUAAGACUACAGCAUACUAAAUGACACAAGAUGUUCUUUCUCUAUUACCUCUUACAUUUGACAUAAAAGUAGGAAAAGGUUUAACAGUCUAUGCCUACAACAUAGAUCUCCAGGACUAAAAGUACACAAAAUGGCAAUCAGUAUAUCACAAGUGUAAUAACACAUGCAUCUAAUCUGCUUCAGUGGCGAGAACUGGGUGAAUCCUCUCAAACAUUAAUCAGGAACUAGGCAUACCUAAUGAGCGUCAAGCUGAUACAGUAGAUGUACAGAAGAGUUUAUACACAAGGAAGUGAAAAGUGAUGUUAAAGGCAACUAAUACUUCCAUCUACCAUAGUUAAACAAGAAUCUGCAAAUGGUGAUAAUUGCAAUAAUCUUGAUAUAUUAAUGUUUGGCUUUAUAAUUA